rnacentral:lncRNA from 1 species
CAGAGCAAAGCACCCCUUGAAGAGAAGUCUCCCAACAGUCACACCCCAUUCUCAUACCUGUUGCAAACAGGCAUCCAUCUGCUAUAUAUACAUCCAUCUGCAUGACAUUUAGUAGACAAAAAAUAAUCAACUUCAUCUUCUACAUUCCUAAACCUUCUUAUUGAGAGAACCACACUAAAUUCGCCAGAAGUUAAAUUUUUCGGUGCUGGAAUUUUAACUUGAUCGUUGAAUCCUGGUGAAGCAGACGUCCGUAGAACUACAAGCACAGAGUAGGGACGAAAUUUAUGUUUCAAGGACAUUGCGGUACGCAAGCCUCGAUCUUCAAGUUGUUUGUUUUUAUAAUUCGUAUUCUAGAGGAUAUUCCAAUGUGGCCAAAGCCGGUAAUGGCUAUAUGUAUACAUUGUGAUAGUAUGGCCGCGCAAUCAAGGGCCAAAAGUCAUGUAUACAACGGGAAGUCACGUCACAUUAGGCGUCGACAUAAUACUCUUAAGAAGUUGCUCUCCAAUGGAAUAAUAUCCAUUGAUUAUGUGAAGUCAAAGGAAAAUAUAGCUGAUCCUUUGACAAAAGGCCUACCAAGAGAGCAAAUAUUAUUUACAUCGAGGGGAAUGGGUCUCAAGCCAAUUCAAUGAAUCAAACUGGGCGGAAACCUAACUUAGCUGAUUGGAGAUCCCAUGGUCUAGGUUCAAUAGGCAAACUGGUUGAGUUUGAUUCAAAAGUUGAACACACAAACCCAUUCUUAUGAUAAAAUGUUUGUUGUCUGUUGACGUUUGAGGGGUUAUGUUUUAUACAUUUAAUGACAUUAAUAUCUUGUUAUCAAGAGGAAUAUGACAGACUAUUCUUAAUUAAUGUCACCUAUAUAGGAGUAAAUGGGGCCACAUUUAUGAGAAUUGACAUGGCUAAAUUCUCUAAAGCUCCUACGAAAUCCGGGAUCUGUUCAGGGCCGAAAUGAACACAACCGAAUGAAUUGACGUGUGGCAGACAUGAUAUGUGUGUAGCAUAUUGUCUUGGUUUACUACUGCGGUGAACAGUUCAAGAUCUUCCACAUCCACUGCGUCACCAAGUAAACCCGAUAUGUUUUCACUAGGGUAAGUUCAAGUCCAAAAGACACUUCACCCGAUGUAUAUCAUGCCUAUUCUCUCUCAGUUUUAGGCAGCCUAGUCAUCCAUUUGCAUUUACAUUUGCAUUCAAAUGUGGGGUGAUUGUUGGAGUUUGAAUGAAAUUUCAACUCAAAUGUGGGGUAUUGUUGGAAGUUUAAAUAGUUUGAGUAGACAUGUCAUUGUCCCACAUUGGUCAUUCCCAAAAGAUUUUAUCACUUUAUAAGGUUUUGUCCUUUAUAGAAAGUGAUUGGAGUAAUAGACCUGGAGACUAAAAUUGGGCUCACCUUUGGGGCUGGGCUUUGGGGUGCAUUAAUUAAUUGGUAAUUAAUAUAUAAUUAAUUAUAAAUAAUAUAUAAUUAAUUAUCAAAAGAUGGGCUCUUGGGCUCGGGCUCUAAUAAUUAAAUUAUUUAAUUAAUUAUUUUUCGGAUUUAAUUAAUUAUUUUUUAAAAUUCGAAUUUGAAGUCUGAGAGUUCUUUCUGAACACAGAGCAAAGCACCACUUGAAGAGAAGUCUCCCAACAGUCACACCCCAUUCUCAUACCUGUUGCAAACAGGCAUCCAUCUGCUAUAUAUACAUCCAUCUGCAUGGCAUUUAGUAGACAGAAAAUAAUCAACUUCAUCUUCUACAUUCCUAAACCUUCUUACUGAGAGAACCACACUAAAUUUGCCAGAAGUUAAAUUUUCUGGUGAAGCAGACGUCCGUAGAACUACAAGCACAGAGUAGGGACGAAAUUUCUGUUUCAAGGACAUUGCGGUACGCAAGCCUCGAUCUUCAAGUUGUUUGUUUUUAUAAUUCGUAUUCUAGUUUAUAUUCUGUUAAUUCCUAUUGCAUUUAUUAUUUAUUAGCAUAUAUAAAUUAUCACAGAUUGUUGACAUACAUCCAACAAUAUGAAAUAUUCUUGUGAAAUAAAUGAUUUGUUUAAGAAAAAUGGUACGCAAAGAGAAUGAGAAGAGCGUUCCGAUAUUCAAUAAAUGAAUGCUUUUGAAUCCAAAUACAUGGAUAUAUCCAUCAAAAUGCCACCAUUAUUCUUCAGUGAAUUACAUGAUUAACAGCAACAGUUUGAGUUUACUUGUUUUUGUAAUCCCAUGUAGGUUGACGCUUAAGUUUAUGCAGUCCUCCUUUUUAAUAACUCCAGUUGAAUGGGAAUUUGAAUGAGACAAGAGGGUGCUUCCAAAUAUGUCAAGUAGCUAAGGAUGAAUGGGUACUGCAUGGUAUCUUGUGUCUUUUUUGGGUUUAAUGUUAUCUUCCGUCUUCAUCUCCAAGGAACCAGCUCAUUUGGAUUUGUCUGCUCAUAUCCAGUUGAUAUUUCCGAUGUUUCUUGUUUGAUUCGAGCAACCGAAAAUCUUGAAUGAAAUAGGAAUUUGGGUUUUCAUCUAGAUUUAUGCAGA